rnacentral:rRNA from 1 species
UACAGAGGGGGCAAGCGUUGUUCGGAAUUACUGGGCGUAAAGGGCGCGUAGGCGGCCUUCUAAGUCGAACGUGAAAUCCCCGGGCUCAACCCGGGAACUGCGUCCGAUACUGAAAGGCUUGAAUCCGGGAGAGGGAUGCGGAAUUCCAGGUGUAGCGGUGAAAUGCGUAGAUAUCGGGAGGAACACCUGUGGCGAAAGCGGCGCACUGGACCACUUCUGACGCUGAGGCGCGAAAGCUAGGGGAGCAAACAGG